GUGAAUCAUCAAAUUUUUGAACGCAAAUUGCACUCCCUGGUAUUCCGGGGAGUAUGCCUGUUUGAGGGUCGUUAGAACAAAAAUCGAAGCGUCGCUCUUUUUUUUUUAAGGGUGAUCCCGUCGGGAUUUAGCCGUCUUUCAAAUGUUUAUUCAUGUCAAAGUGGCUUAAAAUUCAUCCAUCCGGUAAGAUUAAAGCGUAUUUAAGGACAAUUUUGAUUAAGAACGCGCGAUGAACGUACCCUCUCCUGUAGU
rnacentral:misc_RNA from 1 species